UAUCAAGACCAGCUCUGCCAUAGCAAGUGGGUGCUCAGGCUCUCCAGAAAUACCUGACUUUGAGACCAUCACAGGAGUAACAACCGGGAAACAAAGACAUUUAUAAUGUCUUAUCUCCUCUGGGUGAGAAUAUUUGCAACCAACAAAGCUCAACACUGAGACCAAUUCCAGAGUGACACUGACUAUUAGAAAGAAAGGAGAUUCAAGUAAUUAGAGGAAAAGAAGUUAAUAAAAAUCCAUUGAAAUCUCCUUGACCUUUGGAUGUCCCAGCAGAGCACACCAUACUUUGUGGAUUAAGACAAAAUGCAUAGCCUGAAGCUUGGAGUAAAAUGCCAAGUUACUGUACCAGACAAACUCGUGGCAGACAGAACAAAAGGUAGGUUGUGGGAAAAAGGUGGCGGUGAACUCAUGACACUUGACAUGGUGGACUUUGGCCUGUUUGA